AACGAACGCUGGCGGCAUGCCUAACACAUGCAAGUCGAACGAGAUCUUCGGGUCUAGUGGCGCACGGGUGCGUAACGCGUGGGAAUCUGCCCUUUGGUUCGGAAUAACAGUUGGAAACGACUGCUAAUACCGGAUGAUGACGAAAGUCCAAAGAUUUAUCGCCAGAGGAUGAGCCCGCGUAGGAUUAGCUAGUUGGUGUGGUAAAGGCGCACCAAGGCGACGAUCCUUAGCUGGUCUGAGAGGAUGAUCAGCCACACUGGGACGGAGACACGGCCCAGACUCCUACGGGAGGCAGCAGUGGGGAAUAUUGGACAAUGGGCGAAAGCCUGAUCCAGCAAUGCCGCGUGAGUGAUGAAGGCCUUAGGGUUGUAAAGCUCUUUUACCCGGGAUGAUAAUGACAGUACCGGGAGAAUAAGCUCCGGCUAACUCCGUGCCAGCAGCCGCAGUAA
rnacentral:rRNA from 1 species